GACGAACGCUGGCGGCGUGCUUAACACAUGCCAGUCGAACGGAAAGGCCCUGCUUGCAGGGUACUCGAGUGGCGAACGGGUGAGUAGCACGUGGGUGAUCUGCCCUGCACUUCGGGAUAAGCCUGGGAAACUGGGUCUAAUACCGGAUAGGAGCCAUUUUUAGUGUGAUGGUUGGAAAGUUUUUUCGGUGUAGGAUGAGCUCGCGGCCUAUCAGCUUGUUGGUGGGGUAAUGGCCUACCAAGGCGGCGACGGGUAGCCGGCCUGAGAGGGUGGACGGCCACAUUGGGACUGAGAUACGGCCCAGACUCCUACGGGAGGCAGCAGUGGGGAAUAUUGCACAAUGGGCGCAAGCCUGAUGCAGCGACGCCGCGUGGGGGAUGACGGCCUUCGGGUUGUAAACUCCUUUCGCUAGGGACGAAGCUUUUUGUGACGGUACCUAGAUAAGAAGCACCGGCUAACUACGUG
rnacentral:rRNA from 1 species